rnacentral:rRNA from 1 species
GAUGAACGCUAGCUACAGGCCUAACACAUGCAAGUCGAGGGGCAGCAUGGUCUUAGCUUGCUAAGGCCGAUGGCGACCGGCGCACGGGUGAGUAACACGUAUCCAACCUGCCGUCUACUCUUGGACAGCCUUCUGAAAGGAAGAUUAAUACAAGAUGGCAUCAUGAGUCCGCAUGUUCACAUGAUUAAAGGUAUUCCGGUAGACGAUGGGGAUGCGUUCCAUUAGAUAGUAGGCGGGGUAACGGCCCACCUAGUCUUCGAUGGAUAGGGGUUCUGAGAGGAAGGUCCCCCACAUUGGAACUGAGACACGGUCCAAACUCCUACGGGAGGCAGCAGUGAGGAAUAUUGGUCAAUGGGCGCAGGCCUGAACCAGCCAAGUAGCGUGAAGGAUGACUGCCCUAUGGGUUGUAAACUUCUUUUAUAAAGGAAUAAAGUCGGGUAUGUAUACCCGUUUGCAUGUACUUUAUGAAUAAGGAUCGGCUAACUCCGUGCCAGCAGCCGCGGUAAUACGGAGGAUCCGAGCGUUAUCCGGAUUUAUUGGGUUUAAAGGGAGCGUAGAUGGAUGUUUAAGUCAGUUGUGAAAGUUUGCGGCUCAACCGUAAAAUUGCAGUUGAUACUGGAUAUCUUGAGUGCAGUUGAGGCAGGCGGAAUUCGUGGUGUAGCGGUGAAAUGCUUAGAUAUCACGAAGAACUCCGAUUGCGAAGGCAGCCUGCUAAGCUGCAACUGACAUUGAGGCUCGAAAGUGUGGGUAUCAAACAGGAUUAGAUACCCUGGUAGUCCACACGGUAAACGAUGAAUACUCGCUGUUUGCGAUAUACAGCAAGCGGCCAAGCGAAAGCGUUAAGUAUUCCACCUGGGGAGUACGCCGGCAACGGUGAAACUCAAAGGAAUUGACGGGGGCCCGCACAAGCGGAGGAACAUGUGGUUUAAUUCGAUGAUACGCGAGGAACCUUACCCGGGCUUAAAUUGCAGAUGAAUUACGGUGAAAGCCGUAAGCCGCAAGGCAUCUGUGAAGGUGCUGCAUGGUUGUCGUCAGCUCGUGCCGUGAGGUGUCGGCUUAAGUGCCAUAACGAGCGCAACCCUCGUUGUCAGUUACUAACAGGUUUCGCUGAGGACUCUGACAAGACUGCCAUCGUAAGAUGUGAGGAAGGUGGGGAGGACGUCAAAUCAGCACGGCCCUUACGUCCGGGGCUACACACGUGUUACAAUGGGGGGUACAGAGGGCCGCUACCACGCGAGUGGAUGCCAAUCCCAAAAACCUCUCUCAGUUCGGACUGGAGUCUGCAACCCGACUCCACGAAGCUGGAUUCGCUAGUAAUCGCGCAUCAGCCACGGCGCGGUGAAU